AUUGAACGCUGGCGGCAGGCCUAACACAUGCAAGUCGAACGGUAACAGGAAGAAGCUUGCUUCUUUGCUGACGAGUGGCGGACGGGUGAGUAAUGUCUGGGAAACUGCCUGAUGGAGGGGGAUAACUACUGGAAACGGUAGCUAAUACCGCAUAACGUCGCAAGACCAAAGAGGGGGACCUUCGGGCCUCUUGCCAUCGGAUGUGCCCAGAUGGGAUUAGCUAGUAGGUGGGGUAACGGCUCACCUAGGCGACGAUCCCUAGCUGGUCUGAGAAGAUGACCAGCCACACUGGAACUGAGACACGGUCCAGACUCCUACGGGAGGCAGCAGUGGGGAAUAUUGCACAAUGGGCGCAAGCCUGAUGCAGCCAUGCCGCGUGUAUGAAGAAGGCCUUCGGGUUGUAAAGUACUUUCAGCGGGGAGGAAGGGAGUAAAGUUAAUACCUUUGCUCAUUGACGUUACCCGCAGAAGAAGCACCGGCUAACUCCGUG
rnacentral:rRNA from 1 species